AAAAAGGUUCUGUAUUCUGGUGCGAGAAGCAAAAUAGGGCACUCCGUGAGAAUCGGAGACGGAUCCGCCGCUGUGAUCCCUCCCGGCCAUGCCGGGAACAUCCUUGGGCAUCGGACCACUGUUUCAGCGAACUGAAACGGGAAGGCGCUUAAAAGGACGGGGAAAGUCAGAAGACCUGCCAGAGUACGUAUACCGGCC
rnacentral:ncRNA from 1 species